GCCGGCGUAGCUCAGUGGUAGAGCAGCUGAUUCGUAAUCAGCAGGUCGGAAGUUCAAAUCUUCUCGCCGGCUCCA
rnacentral:tRNA from 1 species